UGGGGAAUUUUGGACAAUGGGCGCAAGCCUGAUCCAGCAAUGCCGCGUGCAGGAUGAAGGCCUUCGGGUUGUAAACUGCUUUUGUACGGAACGAAAAGCCCUGGGUUAAUACCCUGGGGUCAUGACGGUACCGUAAGAAUAAGCACCGGCUAACUACGUGCCAGCAGCCGCGGUAAUACGUAGGGUGCGAGCGUUAAUCGGAAUUACUGGGCGUAAAGCGUGCGCAGGCGGUUUUGUAAGACAGAGGUGAAAUCCCCGGGCUCAACCUGGGAACUGCCUUUGUGACUGCAAGGCUAGAGUACGGCAGAGGGGGAUGGAAUUCCGCGUGUAGCAGUGAAAUGCGUAGAUAUGCGGAGGAACACCGAUGGCGAAGGCAAUACCCUGGGCCUGUACUGACGCUCAUGCACGAAAGCGUGGGGGAGCAAACAGGAUUAGAUACCCCUGGUAGUCCACGCCCUAAACGAUGUCAACUGGUUGUUGGGUCUUAACUGACUCAGUAACGAAGCUAACGCGUGAAGUUGACCGCCUGGGGAGUACGGCCGCAAGGUUGAAACUUAAAUGAAUUGACGGGGUCAUAGCUGUUUCCU
rnacentral:rRNA from 1 species